rnacentral:tmRNA from 1 species
GGGGGCGUUCUGGAUUCGACGGGGAUUGUUCGGGCAUGAUCGGCGGGUCGUGGGGCUGCGCACACGUUAAUCACGCGGACCUAAACACAAACGCAAAAACCAAACGUAACACCUUCACAAGCAGCAACCUCGCUUUCGCUG